rnacentral:tRNA from 1 species
CGCUAAGAAGCUUAUAUAGCAUCAGCCUUUUAAGCUGAGGAGGAAUAAUGCUUUCCUUAGUGA